UACGCACAGCUCAGUAACACGUGGCUAACCUACCCUUGGGACGGAAACACCCCCGGGAAACUGGGGCUAAUUUCCGAUAGGUGAAGACUCCUGGAAUGGAUUUUCGCCUAAAGGGCGUUUAGAGCAUGCUUCUAGGCGUUGCCCAAGGAUGGGGCCGCGGCCGAUCAGGUUGUUGGUGAGGUAAUGGCCCACCAAGCCUUUAACCGGUACGGGCCGUGGGAGCGGUAGCCCGGAGAUGGGCACUGAGACAAGGGCCCAGGCCCUACGGGGCGCAGCAGUCGCGAAAACUUCGCAAUAAGCGAAAGCUUGACGGGGCCAUCCCGAGUGCCAUCUGCUGAGGAUGGCUUUUACCCAGUAUAGAUAGCUGGGAGAAUAAGGAGAGGGCAAGUCUGGUGUCAGCCGCCGCGGUAAUACCAGCUCUCCGAGUUGUAGGGAUGUUUAUUGGGCCUAAAGCAUCCGUAGCCGGCUGGACAAGUCCUCUGUUAAAUCCAGCGACCAAUCGUUGGUCUGCGGGGGAUACUGUCCGGCUAGGGGGCGGGAGAGGCCGUCGGUAUUCCUGGGGUAGGGGUGAAAUCCUAUAAUCCCAGGAGGACCACCAGUGGCGAAGGCUGUCGGCUAGAACGCGCCCGACGGUGAGGGAUGAAAGCUGGGGGAGCGAACCGGAUUAGAUACCCGGGUAGUCCCAGCUGUAAACGAUGCAGGCUAGGUGUUAGGGCGGCUACGUGCCGCUCUAGUGCCGNAGGGAAGCUGUUAAGCCUGCCGCCUGGGGAAACGCCCGGAAGCUGAAC
rnacentral:rRNA from 1 species